rnacentral:pre_miRNA from 1 species
AUUCCAGUGUCGAUCAAGUACUAGACUAAAAUUAGUACUAGAACGGGGCUGGGUCGA